rnacentral:snoRNA from 1 species
UCCUAUGUUGAUUCUAACACCCAGAAUCUCAGGAUGUAACCAGAUUUAGAUAGUCACUACCACUGAGACAACAAUGAA